AUGUAAUGCCUACAAUGUUAAUGCACCAGAUCUCAUUAGUACUUUGCAAUUAAGUGCGCUUGGGCUAGAGUAUUACUAGGAUGGGUGACCUCCCGGGAAGUCCUAGUGUUUUACAUG
rfam:Picea glauca, whole genome shotgun sequence.